rnacentral:rRNA from 1 species
AUUAGCUUGUUGGUGCGGUAGUGGCGCACCAAGGCCGCGAUGGGUAGCGGGUUUGAGAGGACGGUCCGCCACACUGGAACUGAGACACGGUCCAGACUCCUACGGGAGGCAGCAGUGGGGAAUCUUGGACAAUGGGCGAAAGCCUGAUCCAGCCAUGCCGCGUGAAUGAUGAAGGCCUUAGGGUUGUAAAAUUCUUUCAGCAGGGAAGAUAAUGACGGUACCUGCAGAAGAAGCCCCGGCUAACUCCGUGCCAGCAGCCGCGGUAAUACGGAGGGGGCUAGCGUUGUUCGGAAUUACUGGGCGUAAAGCGCUCGUAGGCGGAUUGGUCAGUCAGGGGUGAAAGCCCGGAGCUCAACUCCGGAACUGCCUUUGAUACUGCCAGUCUUGAGUUCGGGAGAGGUGAGCGGAAUACCGAGUGUAGAGGUGAAAUUCGUAGAUAUUCGGUGGAACACCAGAGGCGAAGGCGGCUCACUGGACCGAUACUGACGCUGAGGAGCGAAAGCGUGGGGAGCAAACAGGAUUAGAUACCCUGGUAGUCCACGCCGUAAACGAUGAGAGCUAGUUGUCUGGCAGCAUGCUGUUAGGUGACGCAGCUAACGCAUUAAGCUCUCCGCCUGGGGAGUACGGCCGCAAGGUUAAAACUCAAAGAAAUUGACGGGGGCCCGCACAAGCGGUGGAGCAUGUGGGUUUAAUUCGAAGC